GACGGAGGAUGCAAGCGUUAUCCGGAAUGAUUGGGCGUAAAGCGUGCGCAGGUGGCAGUUCAAGUCUGCUGUCAAAGACCGGGGCUUAACUUCGGAAAGGCAGUGGAAACUGAACAGCUAGAGUAUGGUAGGGGCAGAGGGAAUUCCUGGUGUAGCGGUGAAAUGCGUAGAGAUCAGGAAGAACAUCGGUGGCGAAGGCGCUCUGCUGGACCAUAACUGACACUCAGGGACGAAAGCUAGGGGAGCGAAUGGG
rnacentral:rRNA from 1 species